UACGAGUUUGAUCCUGGCUCAGAGCGAACGUUAGCGGCGGGCCUAACACAUGCAAGUCGAACGCGAAAGGUCUUCGGACUGAGUAGAGUGGCGCACGGGUGAGUAACACGUAGGUAAUCUACCCUUUGGCGGGGGAUAACGUUCCGAAAGGAGCGCUAAUACCGCAUAAGACCACGGAGUCUCCGGACGCUGUGGGAAAAGGUGGCCUCUUCUUGAAAGCUACCACCGAAGGAUGAGCCUGCGUCCCAUCAGCUAGUUGGUAAGGUAAUGGCUUACCAAGGCGAAGACGGGUAGCUGGUUUGAGAAAAUGAUCAGCCACACUGGCACUGGAACACGGGCCAGACUCCUACGGGAGGCAGCAGUGAGGAAUAUUGGGCAAUGGGCGAAAGCCUGACCCAGCCACGCCGCGUGAGUGAUGAAGGCCCUCGGGUCGUAAAGCUCUGUGGAGAGGGACGAAAAACCCUGGUUUCAAAUAGGCUCCAGGCUUGACGGUACCUCUUUAGCAAGCACCGGCUAACUCUGUG
rnacentral:rRNA from 1 species